rfam:Treponema primitia ZAS-2, complete genome.
GCGAGAGUGGUGAAAUUGGUAGACACGCCAGACUUAGGAUCUGGUGCCUUUGGCUUAAGGGUUCAAGUCCCUUCUCUCGUA